rnacentral:rRNA from 1 species
GAGUAACGUAUGGGGAUCUGCCGAAUGGAGGGGGACAACAGUUGGAAACGACUGCUAAUACCGCAUAAUGUCGCGAGACCAAAGCAUGGGACCUUAGGGCCAUGCGCCAUUUGAUGAACCCAUAUGGGAUUAGCUAGUAGGUGAGGUAAUGGCUCACCUAGGCGACGAUCUCUAGCUGGUCUGAGAGGAUGACCAGCCACACUGGGACUGAGACACGGCCCAGACUCCUACGGGAGGCAGCAGUGGGGAAUAUUGCACAAUGGGGGAAACCCUGAUGCAGCCAUGCCGCGUGUAUGAAGAAGGCCUUCGGGUUGUAAAGUACUUUCGGUAGCGAGGAAGGGGUUAUAUCUAAUAGGUGUAACCAUUGACGUUAACUACAGAAGAAGCACCGGCUAACUCCGUGCCAGCAGCCGCGGUAAUACGGAGGGUGCGAGCGUUAAUCGGAAUGACUGGGCGUAAAGGGCAUGUAGGCGGAUAGUUAAGUUAGGUGUGAAAGCCCCGGGCUCAACCUGGGAAUUGCAUUUAAAACUGGUUAUCUGGAGUAUUGUAGAGGAAGGUAGAAUUCCAUGUGUAGCGGUGAAAUGCGUAGAGAUGUGGAGGAAUACCGGUGGCGAAGGCGGCCUUCUGGACAAAUACUGACGCUGAGAUGCGAAAGCGUGGGGAGCAAACAGGAUUAGAUACCCUGGUAGUCCACGCUGUAAACGAUGUCAACUU